UUCGAGAAAAGUUUGUAUUUC
rnacentral:piRNA from 1 species